UGCAGUCGAGCGAACAGAAGGGAGCUUGCUCCCGGAUGUUAGCGGCGGACGGGUGAGUAACACGUGGGUAACCUGCCUGUAAGACUGGGAUAACUCCGGGAAACCGGAGCUAAUACCGGAUAGUUCCUUGAACCGCAUGGUUCAAGGAUGAAAGACGGUUUCGGCUGUCACUUACAGAUGGACCCGCGGCGCAUUAGCUAGUUGGUGGGGUAAUGGCUCACCAAGGCGACGAUGCGUAGCCGACCUGAGAGGGUGAUCGGCCACACUGGGACUGAGACACGGCCCAGACUCCUACGGGAGGCAGCAGUAGGGAAUCUUCCGCAAUGGACGAAAGUCUGACGGAGCAACGCCGCGUGAGUGAUGAAGGUUUUCGGAUCGUAAAGCUCUGUUGUUAGGGAAGAACAAGUGCGAGAGUAACUGCUCGCACCUUGACGGUACCUAACCAGAAAGCCACGGCUAACUACGUGCCAGCAGCCGCGGUAAUACGUAGGUGGCAAGCGUUGUCCGGAAUUAUUGGGCGUAAAGGGCUCGCAGGCGGUUUCUUAAGUCUGAUGUGAAAGCCCCCGGCUCAACCGGGGAGGGUCAUUGGAAACUGGGAAACUUGAGUGCAGAAGAGGAGAGUGGAAUUCCACGUGUAGCGGUGAAAUGCGUAGAGAUGUGGAGGAACACCAGUGGCGAAGGCGACUCUCUGGUCUGUAACUGACGCUGAGGAGCGAAAGCGUGGGGAGCGAACAGGAUUAGAUACCCUGGUAGUCCACGCCGUAAACGAUGAGUGCUAAGUGUUAGGGGGUUUCCGCCCCUUAGUGCUGCAGCUAACGCAUUAAGCACUCCGCCUGGGGAGUACGGUCGCAAGACUGAAACUCAAAGGAAUUGACGGGGGCCCGCACAAGCGGUGGAGCAUGUGGUUUAAUUCGAAGCAACGCGAAGAACCUUACCAGGUCUUGACAUCCUCUGACAACCCUAGAGAUAGGGCUUUCCCUUCGGGGACAGAGUGACAGGUGGUGCAUGGUUGUCGUCAGCUCGUGUCGUGAGAUGUUGGGUUAAGUCCCGCAACGAGCGCAACCCUUGAUCUUAGUUGCCAGCAUUUAGUUGGGCACUCUAAGGUGACUGCCGGUGACAAACCGGAGGAAGGUGGGGAUGACGUCAAAUCAUCAUGCCCCUUAUGACCUGGGCUACACACGUGCUACAAUGGACAGAACAAAGGGCUGCGAGACCGCAAGGUUUAGCCAAUCCCAUAAAUCUGUUCUCAGUUCGGAUCGCAGUCUGCAACUCGACUGCGUGAAGCUGGAAUCGCUAGUAAUCGCGGAUCAGCA
rnacentral:rRNA from 1 species